GCAGCGGAAGAUCAAGGAUUGGUCCAAGCAUCACAUCAAGUAUAUCAUACAGUUCAAGCUUGCUGUGGAGCAAGCUCGGGCUGGAAAAUGAGCCCAGCUUCGUCAGCAUUGCCCGAUCGCGUUCAACAACUAUCUCACAUGGUUUCUUGCAAGCACCCGUGUGGAGGUAUGCAAGCCGGCGUAUGUCGAGGAGAUUUUGGAAGAAUCCACCGUUUUUGAUGAGGUAGCCCAGCACCAGUACAACGCAUUAGUCAGGAAAGGCAACUCAGUGAUCCCUUCAGCUCCAAUGAUGAACUUUGUGCGUGCCCAGAUCAAGAAAGCAGCUGAUGAGACCGACACUAUUCUGGAAACAACCCCGGCUGGCAAAAGUGAUGGGGAAGGUGCACUUCGAGCAUUCAUUAAGCGCCAGGGCCAAAAGUUAAGGCGGCUAUCAAACCUUUCGGUUGUCGUGACCCCGAGUAUGUAUCACCAGAACGUUCUAGGUCGGUGACACCAUCAGAUCCAACUUCUGGCAACGCUGAUCCUUUGGAGGAUGAGGAUGC